rnacentral:rRNA from 1 species
GCCGAGUUGAGAGACUGAUCGGCCACAUUGGGACUGAGACACGGCCCAAACUCCUACGGGAGGCUGCAGUAGGGAAUCUUCCACAAUGGGCGAAAGCCUGAUGGAGCAACGCCGCGUGUGUGAUGAAGGCUUUCGGGUCGUAAAGCACUGUUGUAUGGGAAGAAAAGUUAAGGUAGGGAAUGACCUUAGCCUGACGGUACCAUACCAGAAAGGGACGGCUAAAUACGUGCCAGCAGCCGCGGUAAUACGUAUGUCCCGAGCGUUAUCCGGAUUUAUUGGGCGUAAAGCGAGCGCAGACGGUUGGUUAAGUCUGAUGUGAAAGCCCGGAGCUCAACUCCGGAAAGGCAUUGGAAACUGGUUAACUUGAGUGCAGUAGAGGUAAGUGGAACUCCAUGUGUAGCGGUGGAAUGCGUAGAUAUAUGGAAGAACACCAGCGGCGAAGGCGGCUUACUGGACUGUAACUGACGUUGAGGCUCGAAAGUGUGGGUAGCAAACAGGAUUAGAUACCCUGGUAGUCCACACCGUAAACGAUGAACACUAGGUGUUAGGAGGUUUCCGCCUCUUAGUGCCGAAGCUAACGCAUUAAGUGUUCCGCCUGGGGAGUACGACCGCAAGGUUGAAACUCAAAGGAAUUGACGGGGACCCGCACAAGCGGUGGAGCAUGUGGUUUAAUUCGAAGCAACGCGAAGAACCUUACCAGGUCUUGACAUCCUUUGAAGCUUUUAGAAAUAGAAGUGUUCUCUUCGGAGACAAAGUGACAGGUGGUGCAUGGUCGUCGUCAGCUCGUGUCGUGAGAUGUUGGGUUAAGUCCCGCAACGAGCGCAACCCUUAUUGUUAGUUGCCAGCAUUCAGAUGGGCACUCUAGCGAGACUGCCGGUGACAAACCGGAGGAAGGCGGGGACGACGUCAGAUCAUCAUGCCCCUUAUGACCUGGGCUACACACGUGCUACAAUGGCGUAUACAACGAGUUGCCAACCUGCGAAGGUGAGCUAAUCUCUUAAAGUACGUCUCAGUUCGGACUGCAGUCUGCAACUCGACUGCACGAAGUCGGAAUCGCUAGUAAUCGCGGAUCAGCACGCCGCGGUGAAUACGUUCCCGGGUCUUGUACACACCGCCCGUCACACCAUGGAAGUUUGUAAUGCCCAAAGCCGGUGGCCUAACCGUAAGGAGGAACC